GUGGAAAAACUUGUGAAAUAUUUGGAUCCCAACGACCUGGGGAGAAUCAACUUCAAGGACUUUUGCCGGGGGGUGUUCGCCAUGAAAGGGUGCGAGGAGCUGCUGAAGGAUGUGCUGUCGGUGGAGAGCGCGGGGACGCUGCCGUGCGCGCCAGAGAUCCCAGACUGCGUGGAGCAGAGACCGGGUCUAGCUAUGUUGCCCAGGAUGGUCUCAAACUCCUGGCCUCAAGCAAGUCUCCCAGCUGGGCCUCCCAAGG
rnacentral:sRNA from 1 species